GGACGAACGCUGGCGGCGUGCCUAACACAUGCAAGUCGAGCGAGGAGAUUCCUUCGGGAUGAUCCUAGCGGCGGACGGGUGAGUAACACGUGGGCAACCUGCCUCAUAGAGAGGAAUAGCCUUCCGAAAGGGAGAUUAAUACCUCAUAACAUUGCAGUUUCGCAUGGAACAGCAAUUAAAGGAGUAAUCCGCUAUGAGAUGGGCCCGCGGCGCAUUAGCUAGUUGGUGAGGUAACGGCUCACCAGGGCGACGAUGCGUAGCCGACCUGAGAGGGUGAUCGGCCACAUUGGGACUGAGACACGGCCCAGACUCCUACGGGAGGCAGCAGUGGGGAAUAUUGCACAAUGGGGGAAACCCUGAUGCAAGCAACGCCGCGUGAGUGAUGACGGCCUUCGGGUUGUAAAGCUCUGUCUUCAGGGACGAUAAUGACGGUACCUGAGGAGGAAGCCACGGCUAACUACGUGCCAGCCGCAGC
rnacentral:rRNA from 1 species